rnacentral:rRNA from 1 species
GAUGAACGCUGGCGGCGUGCUUAACACAUGCAAGUCGAACGGUGAAGCAGGAGCUUGCUCCUGUGGAUCAGUGGCGAACGGGUGAGUAACACGUGAGCAAUCUGCCCUGGACUCUGGGAUAAGCGUUGGAAACGACGUCUAAUACCGGAUACGAGGCGUGGGGGCAUCCCCAACGCCUGGAAAGAACUUCGGUCCAGGAUGAGCUCGCGGCCUAUCAGGUAGUUGGUGAGGUAACGGCUCACCAAGCCUACGACGGGUAGCCGGCCUGAGAGGGUGACCGGCCACACUGGGACUGAGACACGGCCCAGACUCCUACGGGAGGCAGCAGUGGGGAAUAUUGCACAAUGGGCGCAAGCCUGAUGCAGCAACGCCGCGUGAGGGACGACGGCCUUCGGGUUGUAAACCUCUUUUAGCAGGGAAGAAGCGAAGGUGACGGUACCUGCAGAAAAAGCACCGGCUAACUACGUGCCAGCCGCCGCUGUAAAAC